GAUGAACGCUGGCGGCGUGCCUAAUACAUGCAAGUCGAGCGAACGGGCGAGAAGCUUGCUUCUCUGAUGUUAGCGGCGGACGGGUAAGUAACACGUGGAUAACCUACCUAUAAGACUGGGAUAACUUCGGGAAACCGGAGCUAAUACCGGAUAAUAUUUUGAACCGCAUGGUUCAAAAGUGAAAGACGGUCUUGCUGUCACUUAUAGAUGGAUCCGCGCUGCAUUAGCUAGUUGGUAAGGUAACGGCUUACCAAGGCAACGAUGCAUAGCCGACCUGAGAGGGUGAUCGGCCACACUGGAACUGAGACACGGUCCAGACUCCUACGGGAGGCAGCAGUAGGGAAUCUUCCGCAAUGGGCGAAAGCCUGACGGAGCAACGCCGCGUGAGUGAUGAAGGUCUUCGGAUCGUAAAACUCUGUUAUUAGGGAAGAACAUAUGUGUAAGUAACUGUGCACAUCUUGACGGUACCUAAUCAGAAAGCCACGGCUAACUACGUG
rnacentral:rRNA from 1 species